AGUGCGUAAUAGCUCACUGGUCGAGUGAUCCGGCGCCGAAGAUUUCCGGGGCUAAAACUUACUACCGAAGCUACGGCAUCAGUAAUGAUGGGUAGGGGAGCGUCCCAUACGGGUUGAAGCAUGACCGGAAGGACAUGUGGACAGUAUGGGAGUGAGAAUGUUGGCAGGAGUAGCGAGAUGUGGGUGAGAAUCCCACAGGCCGUAAACCCAAGGUUUCCAGGGGAAGGUUCGUCCGCCCUGGGUUAGUCGGGACCUAAGCUGAGGCCGAAAGGCAUAGGUGAUGGACAACAGGUUGAUAUUCCUGUACUACCGAUAACCGUUUGAGAGAUGGGAUGACACAGUAGGAUAAGCUAAGCACACUGUUGGUUAUGUGUGCCCAAGCAUUGAGGCAGUCAAAGUAGGUAAAUCCGCUUUGAUAAUGCUGGGAUGUGAUGGGGAGCGAAAUUUAGUAGCGAAGUAGCUGAUUUCACACUGUCAAGAAAAGUCUCUAUCGAGGUUAAAGGUACCCGUACCGCAAACCGACACAGGUGGGUGAGGAGAGUAUCCUAAGGCCAGCGAGAGAACUGUUGUUAAGGAACUCGGCAAAAUGACCCCGUAACUUAGGGAUAAGGGGUGCCACCAUCAGGUGGCCGCAGAGAAUAGGCCCAAGCGACUGUUUACCAAAAACAUAGGUUUCUGCUAAGUCGCAAGACGAUGUAUAGGAGCUGACGCCUGCCCGGUGCUGGAAGGUUAAGGGGAUCUGUUAGAGCAAUCGAAGCAGUGAACUUAAGCC
rnacentral:rRNA from 1 species